AAGGAUCAUUAAAGAAAUUGGAAUAUUCAAUUCUCAAACCCACCCUGUGUACUUGUACUUGUUGCUUCCGUGGGCAGUGAAAAUUGCUUUUGCGCCCGCCAGUACGGCGGACCCACGGGAAACAUCUUUAAACCCAGCCUUUUAGUAUUGUCAGUCUGAUUAUGUUUAUUGAAUAAACGUCAAAACUUUCAACAACGGAUCUCUUGGUUCUC
rnacentral:misc_RNA from 1 species